rnacentral:rRNA from 1 species
UACGUAGGGUGCAAGCGUUGUCCGGAUUCAUUGGGCGUAAAGGGCGCGUAGGCGGCCUGAUCAGUCGGGGGUGAAAGCCUGUGGCUCAACCACAGAAUGGCCUUCGAUACUGUCGGGCUUGAGACCGGAAGAGGUAAGUGGAACUGCGAGUGUAGAGGUGAAAUUCGUAGAUAUUCGCAAGAACACCAGUGGCGAAGGCGGCUUACUGGUCCGGAUCUGACGCUGAGGCGCGAAAGCGUGGGGAGCAAACAGG